rnacentral:rRNA from 1 species
GGGUGAGUAACACGUGAGCAACCUGCCCUGGACUCUGGGAUAAGCGCUGGAAACGGCGUCUAAUACUGGAUAUGAGACGUGAUCGCAUGGUCGUGUUUGGAAAGAUUUUUCGGUCUGGGAUGGGCUCGCGGCCUAUCAGCUUGUUGGUGAGGUAAUGGCUCACCAAGGCGUCGACGGGUAGCCGGCCUGAGAGGGUGACCGGCCACACUGGGACUGAGACACGGCCCAGACUCCUACGGGAGGCAGCAGUGGGGAAUAUUGCACAAUGGGCGGAAGCCUGAUGCAGCAACGCCGCGUGAGGGAUGACGGCCUUCGGGUUGUAAACCUCUUUUAGCAGGGAAGAAGCGAAAGUGACGGUACCUGCAGAAAAAGCGCCGGCUAACUACGUGCCAGCAGCCGCGGUAAUACGUAGGGCGCAAGCGUUAUCCGGAAUUAUUGGGCGUAAAGAGCUCGUAGGCGGUUUGUCGCGUCUGCUGUGAAAUCCCGAGGCUCAACCUCGGGCCUGCAGUGGGUACGGGCAGACUAGAGUGCGGUAGGGGAGAUUGGAAUUCCUGGUGUAGCGGUGGAAUGCGCAGAUAUCAGGAGGAACACCGAUGGCGAAGGCAGAUCUCUGGGCCGUAACUGACGCUGAGGAGCGAAAGGGUGGGGAGCA